rnacentral:rRNA from 1 species
UACGGAGGGUGCGAGCGUUGUCCGGAAUCACUGGGCGUAAAGGGCGCGUAGGCGGCCUGAUAAGUAGGGGGUGAAAUCCUGCGGCUUAACCGCAGGGCUGCCUUCUAAACUGUCAGGCUGGAGCACAGUAGAGGCAGGUGGAAUUCCCGGUGUAGCGGUGGAAUGCGUAGAGAUCGGGAAGAACAUCAGUGGCGAAGGCGGCCUGCUGGGCAGUUGCUGACACUGAGGCGCGACAGCGUGGGGAGCAAACAGG